CACACAUGAGGGCGGUCCGGCAUGGCAAAAUCCAUGCUUCAGGCCAUCCGGUGAAGGCAUAUGCCUUUCAUUUCCCUCAUGGAGGUUUAACCGGAGAACAGGAGUAAA
rnacentral:sRNA from 1 species